AGUUGUCUUGUUUGUUUGUUUUCUUUCAGCAUUUCAAAUAUGUCAUCUUGGCCACUGCUUUCUGGCCUCUAUCGUUUUUGAUGGGAAGUCAGCUGCUAAUGUUGCUGGGGUUACCUUGUGCAUGGCCCUCAGAACAUUGCCUUUAAGGGCUUCGAGGUGAAGAUACAUUAGAUUAGAAAUAUAGCAGAGAGGGACCCUGAAGCACUUUAAGAAAGCUUGGUCUGCAGGAAAUCCUCAUCUUGGCUCCAAUCAUCAGAAAAGUUGAUCUCUACCAGAGGUGAGAAAUUGCUGUUGAAGCCACACUGCUUAUGAGGACUCAGCAGGUGUCCUGAGAAAUCACCCGGUUGUAACUGUAACAACUUUGUAAGGUAAAUACUUUUCUUAAGCUUUUAAAAUCUGGGAAAUGCACAAAACCAUCUUUAAAAUAAUUAUUGCUGGAUUUUCUUUAUGAGAAGAAUAAAGCUAAUUCACAUUUUUUUCAGCCUAAUUUCCUUGAUUCAUAUUUGGCAAUAAGAGCUAUUACCAUUUAUGAGAUUUUUAUAUCACAUUUUAUAUAACAUACACAAAAUGCAUAUAUAUGUACAUAUAUAUGAAUAUACACACAUUUACCACUAAAUAUUGAAAAGUGUUAUCAAAGCCUUCAUCUGCCUAGAUUACCAAGUAGAAAGUGUGACCACUUUUUGAAAAAUGUGAAUACACUAAAUCAUUUAACUGUCUUGGUGUCCCAGAAAGUAGAAUCAGGAUAGUCCAAAGUGUGUAAAUGUUAAAUUGUGUGAAGCAUUUUGGUUCUAAGUUUUAGUUACGAAAGAGGCUAUUUCACAGUUGGCCUACUUCCUAAAGGAAGGCACAGUGAUGUUUUAUUAAGUAAUGGAAUAUAGUUUGUCUCUUCAUUCAUUUACUUGUAAGAAAUAUGGCAGGGAGAAACUUGAAACUAGGGCUUAAAGAGAGACAAGUACCAGGCAUGAGAAAUGCGGCUCCCUUAAAGAGAAAGUAAAUAUUCUAGGAGGCAAUCCUUUUCGAAGAUGAGCCAAUCAGAGUUGGUUUUGCUAAAUGGAGAGGCUACAGAGUAGGAGCUCCUGACUUCUCAAUUUCAUAUUAAAAAAUUCUGCUGUUCACCUUUCUUGAACUCAAUUCCCUAACAAGCAAUCUGACAUUAAAUCUUCAUUCUUUAGAAAUUUUAAUAUUUGGAAAGUGUGUGAAGUAGGUCAUCAAAAAAUGUAAAAAGCAAUUCUCAAGUUAUGGUACUCUGUUGCAUUUUGGUUUGGAUAGAAUUCUGUUCUUUUUAAUGAGUUGUUUGAUGAUCUCCCUGAAACUGAGAAUACUUGAAUUCUGAGAUACUACACAGAAAUAUGACUGAAAAAGUAACUGAUGAUCUUCAAGUAGAUCAACUUUUGAAAGUGUAUCAAUCACUGGCGUUAAAUUGUUUGUCUCUUUUAUGAGGAAGGGAAAGGACUAGAUUUUUAUAAGGUUUAUAUUUAGCUUCUUGACUAACUGUAACACACCUGAAAAUAAGGACAUGUUUAUGACAUCUUACUGUGUUUUGUCUACUGUGUGAAAAACUCUCAUUGAGGAAUUUUGAAUUGAGAUAGUAAUGCACUAAAAAAGACUUAACAUGGGCUUUGGAUAAGUGCUGUUCCUUUGAAAGAGUCCAGCUUCAUAAGAAAGUAUUAAAAAUCUGCAUUGAUAAGAUAACUUUUGAAGUUUUAAAUUGAAUCUCAUAAGGAAUCUCUUAAAUGAUCUUCAUUCCAGGUUCAUGACUGGUGAGUACGAGUGAAGGGAGGACUUCUUUUCUAUUUCCUUCAAACCCUAAAAUUUUUCAAUUUUUUUCUUGUAAUUUCUGAUUAAUGGCACUCUUGAUUUUGAUUUAUAUUAUCCUAUUAUUCACUUUAUGGGAGAAGAAGAAGUCACUUUUUUCAAUUUAAUUUUAAAAAUUAGGGCUAGCAGUGAUGAAGUUUAAAAUCAAAUUAUCUUGUCAGAGUGACAGAUAAAUCUCUAGAGUUUCUAAUGAGAUUUUCCACUGGCAGGAUGCUGAAUUUCUCCCUUUCCCAGACUUCUUCAUUCCAGGUUUUGACAGGGAAUGACAAUGAGCUUCUGUGUUUUGAAAUACAGUGCUAUUUGAGGUAUUUUGGUCCUUAUUUAGAAAUUGUGGGGGAGGGGUUGCUUCUUUGUUCUAGGUUAAAGGGGAAAAAGAAAUGUCAAAUGGGUACAUCUUUUACUAUGGAAAGUUGCAAGCAAUUGUCAUAUACCUAAAUUUGAUUAAGUAUAGUAGAUUCACCAAUUUCUACCCUUGCCUUUACAUGUUACUGUUCUUAAAGGAAUUUUUACCGUAGUGAUUAUGUAAAUAUAACACGAUAUUCUUACUAUGCUGCUAUCUGACCUUUUUUUCCCCCAUUUUCUCAUUACCCUAAAUAAAAUUUGAACUCUGAAACACUUUCACAGUAUUAGGUAGAACUCCAUAGUUCUAUAUGCAGUUAACAAUUCUGUCUUAUGUAAUCAUGGAAUUAGAGAUUCUGUUUCUAGUAGGAAAAAAAAAAAAAAAAAAAAAAAAC